rnacentral:lncRNA from 1 species
AGAUAACGUUGCUGGCCAUGGAGUAAGACUGACGCAGACAUCUCUACUCUCAGAGUGUUACUCUGGACUGAGCCAACUCUACAGCCAUCUACCCUGAAAUGCUCAAAUGACUGACAGCUCAUCUCUAUCAACACCAUUGAAGCUCUCUGCUGAAUGUGCACAUCACAAGUUCAUGCACAUCUCUGGGCAAGAAACAAGGACUGUAGUCAAGACAGGCCACUGAAAACAGUUUGCAAAUGGGUCCAUUUCCACAGUUGCAUCCGAGAUACAGAAAAACCAUAGAGAAUGUGGAUGUGAAGGAUGACCUCAUGCCACGGAUGCACAGAUAAAAUUCAGCCUGGGAAGGGAAAGAGAAAAAGAGGAUUGGAUACACCAUGCACAAAAACAUCUCCCAUGGCUUCUCCUUGAAAAGUGCUCUCAGCAGGUGAGGUGAGCCCUUGAGCAAUAACAGCCCUGACUUGCAUACAAGCCAACCUUCCAUUGGAUCUGGGAGACUCUGCAGCUGAUGGCCUGUGUGCUGUAUGGCUUGGAGAGACUACGCAGCCAUGUAGAGCCUCUGCCUUUAGCUGAUGCCUCAUAGCUCUGGCAUUUCCAGCAUCUUGGAGUGUUCACUGAGACCCAUUUUCCCACUCUCAGAGCUUCAUGAAAUGGCCUUUCACAGUUUUGCAGAGGGCCAUCAACCAUACAUUGCCUGGCCUCAGCAGCUCUCUGAAACUUUGGAUGAAGGAUCCACAAGCUUCUCUCUUGUACCCAGCGUGUCCUGAUUCCUGAAGAAAAGCUCCAGCUUUGGAAGGGCCUCAGAAGGAGCUUUGUAAAAAUGAAUAAUGAAGACCUGAACUCUGAUGAGGACCGUCCCGUGCCAUUUCUGCCAGCGGCUGCAGUGCAAUUGAAGGGGCCCGGGAAAACUGAGUCUCUGCUCCUCAGGCAUCUUUGAGAGCGAGUGGCCAGGGAUCCAAGGUAUCUUUCUGCACCCAGGAACUGGAAGGAGCAGGAAAGUGGCCCUGGGAUCCUGAGUGUGGUGUCCUCAUAAGCAAGAAACUGACUGAGCUUGGGCUGACUCUGAAAGAACAGAACCUGAGAGCUGAGCGGCCCCUGCGGCUCUCUCCACUCUCUCUGCUCUCUCUGUAGCUCAUCUCUAGCAACCGUCCCAGGCGAUGCCAAAGCUUGGCUUCACUCCAGUACCUGGGAAGAAGUACCUGGGAAGAAGGUGAAUUAUGGCAGAUGCAGUCUGCCUUCCAAACGGUUUACAAAUGGCUUGUCUGCACCACAAGACACUGGCUUGCCCAAAGGGCUCUAAACCAACAGCCAAGCCAUUUGUCUAGUGAGUGAAGCAACAGAGUUGAAGUGAAAGGAGAGGCUUAGGGCUGGAGCCUGGGAAAAAGACGCCCAUCUCAGGGUUUGUUCAAUGCUUGGAAGAGGGAUGGUGUGGUGCUAGCCCAUGCCUUGUCUCUGCAGAUGUCCCCUGUAAAGCAUUAAGCC